AAGUCCCCACCCAAGGCGCUUGCCGCAGGAAGGAAGCUGGCAACCCUGGGCUCAAAUGGCAUGACCAGGACAGACUGGCAGCCCAUGGGGAGAACAAACCCAGAGCCCCCACAGAAGCUGCGGAAACUAGCUAAUUUCAGUUCCAGGAACAAACUACCAGCAAUACAAUAAUAAUGCUCUGAAGGCUGCAUGGCAGAAUAACACAAACACUUUACCUCGAAGAAAGCAAAACUAAAACCACCUGAGAGAAUCAGAUGAGAAGAAACCAGACAAGAAGCCCUGGGUUUCCAUCCUUAGAAGGUCAACAGAACCUGGUGUGGUGUGAGCAGCAUGGCGGGGAGGGGUGUUCAGUGAGAAGGUGACCACACAGCUGGACCGCUCCAGCGUGGGCCUGGGGUCUCUUCAUAAAGAGCUUCAAGGUCAAUGCCACAGGUUCAGUUUUGUCUCCUUUUGGUCAGUAUGCCAAUUCUAACAGGUGGACUCUAAUUUCUGGCCCCUUACAUGCUGCCGAGCAGUUAUUGACCUUUUCACACACAGCCGCUAUUUCAGCCCAGGGACUCUGUGCUAAGAGGGCCCCUGAGGUUUUGGGGAAGCUCUGACUGUCUUAAGCAUUCCUAAAAGCCUCCGUGCUUGUGCCUUCUCAAUCAGAAUUAAAGGUCCCAAAUCUAAAAA